AAUCAUGUCAAGAUGGAUGGGAGCAUUGAAGGCUAACGGGCUAAGAAGACUCAAUCAAGUAAGCGAACGAAAAUACGGACGCGCAAGGCUAUACAUGUUUGGAUGUUUCAUCUAGAAGUGUACGCGGUUGAAGAUCGAGUCAAGACACGGAUUGUAUGUGGGUGUGUACGUAGUCAUUUAAUUGAGAGAUGUAUGUUAGUUUUUGGAUUAAUUUAUAAAAAGAGAUUAAUGUAUUUAAAUGAAAGAAAGAAUAUCAUGAAGGAAAUUUUAGGUAUGUA